rnacentral:rRNA from 1 species
UACGUAGGGGGCAAGCGUUGUCCGGAAUCAUUGGGCGUAAAGAGCGUGUAGGCGGCCAGGUAGGUGGGUUGUGAAAACUGGAGGCUCAACCUUCAGAGGUCGACCCAAACCCCCUGGCUAGAGUCCGGAAGAGGAGAGUGGAAUUCCUGGUGUAGCGGUGAAAUGCGCAGAUAUCAGGAAGAACACCCGUGGCGAAGGCGGCUCUCUGGGACGGUACUGACGCUAAGACGCGAAAGCGUGGGGAGCGAACAGG